rnacentral:pre_miRNA from 1 species
CUGCCAUGAUGCCAGCUGCAGUGGGGGAGGUGCAGCCAGGGCUGCAUGCUCCAUGGAGCCAGUGCGAGCCAGGAACAGG